AGCAGCCGCGGUAAUUCCAGCUCCAAUAGCGUAUAUUAAAGUUGUUGCAGUUAAAAAGCUCGUAGUUGAAUUUCGGGGUUAGUAGGCUGGUCGUGCCACUGGUAUGUACUGGUCUUACUGACUUCUCCUUUCUGAAGAACUGUAAUGCCAUUAAUUUGGUGUUGCAGGGAAUCAGGACUGUUACUUUGAAAAAAUUAGAGUGUUUAAAGCAGGCUAACGCUUGAAUACAUUAGCAUGGAAUAAUGAAAUAGGACGUUCGAUCCUAUUUUGUUGGUUUCUAGGAUUGACGUAAUGAUUAAUAGGGAUAGUUGGGGGCAUUAGUAUUCAAUUGUCAGAGGUGAAAUUCUUGGAUUUAUUGAAGACUAACUACUGCGAAAGCAUUUGCCAAGGAUGUUUUCAUUAAUCAAGAACGAAAGUUAGGGGAUCGAAGACGAUCAGAUACCGUCGUAGUCUUAACCAUAAACUAUGCCGACUAGGGAUCGGAUGAUGUUAAUUUUUUAAUGACUCAUUCGGCGCCUUACG
rnacentral:rRNA from 1 species